rnacentral:rRNA from 1 species
GAUGAACGCUGGCGGCGUGCCUAAUACAUGCAAGUCGAGCGAACAGACGAGGAGCUUGCUCCUCUGACGUUAGCGGCGGACGGGUGAGUAACACGUGGAUAACCUACCUAUAAGACUGGGAUAACUUCGGGAAACCGGAGCUAAUACCGGAGAAUAUAUUGAACCGCAUGGUUCAAUAGUGAAAGACGGUUUUGCUGUCACUUAUAGAUGGAUCCGCGCCGCAUUAGCUAGUUGGUAAGGUAACGGCUUACCAAGGCAACGAUGCGUAGCCGAUCUGAGAGGGUGAUCGGCCACACUGGAACUGAGACACGGUCCAGACUCCUACGGGAGGCAGCAGUAGGGAAUCUUCCGCAAUGGGCGAAAGCCUGACGGAGCAACGCCGCGUGAGUGAUGAAGGUCUUCGGAUCGUAGAACUCUGUUAUUAGGGAAGAACAAAUGUGUAAGUAACUAUGCACGUCUUGACGGUACCUAAUCAGAAAGCCACGGCUAACUACGUG